GGGAGAUUUACCAUAAAAAAAAUGGAAAAAUCGCGAGAUCAGCUGCCAUUAAAUGCGAAAAGUUCAAUCUCGAUCCAUAAAUUCCUCGACGAGUUUCAUAAAAAAAAAAAAAAAAAAUUAGGAAUUUUGCAACAACAAUAUGAUCAACUCGAAAACCUGUCCGGCAACAAAAUGUAAAGUGUUUCGUCGAUUUCAUCGAAUUCGGGCCGAACAUACGGGAAAUAGUACAAUUUCGCGAUAAAAAGUGCAAUAAAGUGGUAAAAAAUGGAAGUAGGUCAAAUUUCUUUUCAAGCUUUUAAGAGGCAACGAAGCCCUGCCAGAUGCGAGAAGAUUCAAUCCGAUUGGUCAAUUCCUUUCGAAAUAAGAAGAAAUACAAAAUUUUUCGGUUUUUUGCAAAAAAAAAAGAAAGCGGUUAAAAAAUGAGAAAUUCCAAAAUCUUUUGAUCGUGGAAUCACCUCGGAGAUAUGCUCUACAAGAUAAGAUCUCAGCGUAAUCGAGUAACAUGCAUAAAAAAAUAUAUA